GGUGCUGCUGGCAGCGGCGCCGCGGAGCAGCUAGGGGGCGGGAGGAGCGGAGCGGAGCGGAGCGAGCCCUCUGCUGGCUGCUGCGCAGGAGCAGAAGGGAUUUUAAUGUCUGAAGAGGGAGAGAAAUGAAUCAGCAAAUUAUGCUGGAGAUGGAAGACAGACACCAUACAGCAAGAGCAAACGUCAGAGCAGGGAGGCCAACACUGGAGCAAGCAUUAUCCAGCAGGUUCUUCGCCUUACGUUCUGAUUUGCCUCCCCCAGUCUACCAGCAGCAACCAGGUGACGAAGGAAUUUAAAGUGCUUACAUGCCACCAAAUACCUAUCUGGAAGGACAAUCUCUCAGAAUACAAGAGUGCUGUGGAACUGCUCAUCCAAUUCUUGGAAAAGACUAUCUGCAGAGGUAGGAGGGUGAAUAUCCAACCUGGGCUUUGUGCUGUGGGUAGCCGAUCUCUCUCUUGUAGGGGAGAGCAGGGAAGGAACUGAUCAGGAAUGGCAGAAGGUCUCUAAAAGUGUAUGUGGGGCACUGGCACUUGAACUGUGGGCCUAUCCCUGUGCCGCCCCUGCCCCCACACCAACCCUUCCCCCUAGGCUCCUCUCUGUCUGUAAAAAGUGGGAGGACCAUGGCCUCUUGACCCCCCUCCUGUUCUGGCUUACUUGGAACUGAUCCAAAAGACACUUAGCUUGUAAAACUUUUUUUCUUUUUUUAAGUGGAGACCUCCCUCUUGGGGAAACCAGUGAUGUGUCUCCUACACAGCA